ACACAGUCGUGUUUUCAGGACUUUCUCGCCCUCGCAAGCAUUCUUUCGCUUCUUCAGAUCGGAAGAGCGACACACAACAAAUUUACUUAGCUAUGUAAAUAUGAGCAUUCCAUAGAUAUCUACUGUU
rnacentral:lncRNA from 1 species